rnacentral:rRNA from 1 species
CGAGUUCAUACUCGUGGCGAAAAGCUCAGUAACACGUGGCCAAACUACCCUACAGAGAACGAUAACCUCGGGAAACUGAGGCUAAUAGUUCAUACGGGAGUCAUGCUGGAAUGCCGACUCCCCGAAACGCUCAGGCGCUGUAGGAUGUGGCUGCGGCCGAUUAGGUAGACGGUGGGGUAACGGCCCACCGUGCCGAUAAUCGGUACGGGUUGUGAGAGCAAGAGCCCGGAGACGGAAUCUGAGACAAGAUUCCGGGCCCUACGGGGCGCAGCAGGCGCGAAACCUUUACACUGCACGCAAGUGCGAUAAGGGGACCCCAAGUGCGAGGGCAUAUAGUCCUCGCUUUUCUCGACCGUAAGGCGGUCGAGGAAUAAGAGCUGGGCAAGACCGGUGCCAGCCGCCGCGGUAAUACCGGCAGCUCAAGUGAUGACCGAUAUUAUUGGGCCUAAAGCGUCCGUAGCCGGCCACGAAGGUUCAUCGGGAAAUCCGCCAGCUCAACUGGCGGGCGUCCGGUGAAAACCACGUGGCUUGGGGCCGGAAGGCUCGAAGGGUACGUCCGGGGUAGGAGUGAAAUCCCGUAAUCCUGGACGGACCACCGAUGGCGAAAGCACCUCGAGAAGACGGAUCCGACGGUGAGGGACGAAAGCUAGGGUCUCGAACCGGAUUAGAUACCCGGGUAGUCCUAGCUGUAAACGAUGCUCGCUAGGUGUGACACAGGCUACGAGCCUGUGUUGUGCCGUAGGGAAGCCGAGAAGCGAGCCGCCUGGGAAGUACGUCCGCAAGGAUGAGACUUAAAGGAAUUGGCGGGGGAGCACUACAACCAGAGGAGCCUGCGGUA